rnacentral:rRNA from 1 species
CUUUACUGCAACUUGACGUUGGAACUUGGCUGUAUUUGUGUAGGAUAGGUGGGAGACUUUGAAGCAGGGCCGCCAGGUCUUGCGGAGUCGUCGUUGAAAUACCACCCUGGUGCUGACGAGUUUCUAACCGUGUCCGUAAGCCGGACAUGAGACAGCGUCUGGUGGGCAGUUUGACUGGGGCGGUCGCCUCCUAAAAGGUAACGGAGGCAUUCAAAGGUCCCCUCAGCGUGGUCGGUAAUCACGCGCAGAGUGCAAACGCAUAAGGGGGCUUAACUGCGAGACCGACAGGUCGAGCAGGUACGAAAGUAGGAGUUAGUGAUCCCGCGGUUUAGCGUGGAAUUGCCGUUGCUCAAUGGAUAAAAGGUA